rnacentral:rRNA from 1 species
AAGGUUUCCGUAGGUGAACCUGCGGAAGGAUCAUUGUCGAAUCCUGCAUGGCAGAACCACUCGCGAACAAGUCAAAAAACGCAAGGCAUUGUGAAGUGUGGGGAAAACACCUCACACUUGACUUUUGUCCAACGGUACCUGGGCAUUUUGCCUUUGGUGCCUAACAAACCCCCGGCGCGAGAAGCGCCAAGGAAUACUGUAAACAAGGGUCCUACCCAUCCUCUCCCGCUCGCGGGGCCUAGGGGAUUGGGAAUGGCUUCUUUCUAAACCACAACGACUCUCGACAACGGAUAUCUCGGCUCUCGCAUCGAUGAAGAACGUAGCGAAAUGCGAUACUUGGUGUGAAUUGCAGAAUCCCGUGAACCAUCGAGUCUUUGAACGCAAGUUGCGCCUGAGGCCAUUAGGCCAAAGGCACGUCUGCCUGGGCGUCACGCAUCGCGUCACCACAUCCCCGAUUCUGGUGGGUGGGUGGAAUGUGACUUCCUGUNCCUAGUGUCGCAGUUGGUCGAAAUUUUAGUCCGGAGCUUAGGACUUCACGACAAGUGGUGGUUGGAAGACAACUCUCGUCAUGUCGUGGGCCAAGCAUUCGCGACUCUCAUGACCCUAAGUUGUGCUUGUUACCCUCCUCUUCGGGUGGGAAACUGGUGCUACGACCGCGACCCCAGKUCAGGCGGGAUUACCCGCUGAAUUUAA